CCUACGGUGUGCAGCAGUGAGGAAUAUUGGUCAAUGGCCGGGCGGCUGAACCAGCCAAGUCGCGUGAGGGAAGACGGCCCUACGGGUUGUAAACCUCUUUUGUCAGGGAGCAAGGUGCAGGUCGGGACCUGCUGUGAGAGUACCUGCAGACAAAGCAUCGGCUAACUCCGUGCCAGCAGCCGCGGUAAUACGGAGGAUGCGAGCGUUAUCCGGAUUGAGUGGGUUUACAGGGUGCGCCGGCGGAGGCACCAGUCAGCGGUAAAAUCGCGGGGCUCAACCCCGCUCCGCCGUUGAAACUGUGUCCCUUGAGUGCGCGAAGGGUAAGCGGAAUGCGUGGUGUAGCGGUGAAAUGCAUAGAUAUCACGCAGAACUCCGAUCGCGAAGGCAGCCUACCGGCGCGCAACUGACGCUCAUGCACGAAAGCGUGGGUAUCGAACAGGAUUAGAUACCCUGGUAGUC
rnacentral:rRNA from 1 species